rnacentral:rRNA from 1 species
UAAAGAGUUCUAUAACUCCCAAACCCAUGUGAACAUACCUAACGUUGCCUCGGCAGGUCGCACCUACCUUGUAGCACCCUACCCUGUAGGGCCUACCCGGGAGGUGCGGGUAAGCCUGCCGGCGGCCCACCAAACUCUGUUUGAUAUUGAAUUCUGAACCUAUAACUAAAUAAGUUAAAACUUUCAACAACGGAUCUCUUGGUUCUGGCAUCGAUGAAGAACGCAGCGAAAUGCGAUAAGUAAUGUGAAUUGCAGAAUUCAGUGAAUCAUCGAAUCUUUGAACGCAUAUUGCGCCCAUUAGUAUUCUAGUGGGCAGGACCGUUCGAGCGUCAUUUCAACCCUUAAGCCUUCGUUGCUUAGUGUUGGGAGCCUACGGCAACGUAGCUCCUCAAAGUUAGUGGCGGAGUUGGUUCACACUCUAGACGUAGUAAUUUUUUAUCUCGCCUAUUAGUUGGACUAAUCCCCUGCCGUAAAACCCCCAAUUUAUCAAGGUUGACCUCGAAUCGGUUCAGACAAACUCGCUAAAUUGAAGCAUCUUAGUCAGCGAAGGAAAAGAAACCAACAGGGAUUGCCCUAGUAACGGCGAGUGAAGCGGCAACAGCUCAAAUUUGAAAUCUGGCCCUCGGGUCCGAGUUGUAAUUUGUAGAGGAUGCUUUUGGCGCGGUGCCUUCCG